AGUAAGGGUUGACCGAAGUCAGU
rnacentral:siRNA from 1 species